CCCCACGAUUUAAGUAAAGAGGAGAAGAGAAAGUUAGAGAGAGAAAAAAGAAAAGAAGGAAUCAGGUUAGAGAAAAGGAGGAGAAAAAGUAAGAAGAGGAAGAAGAAAGGGCUACGGUGCCAAGACCCAAUGCCCAAAAAUCAUUUCCACGUGUUACCAGAGUUUGUAGGCCAAAGAAGAGAAGGUGCAAAAAGCUGCUGAUGAACUCGCUUAGCGAGGCAGAUUGGCUAAGCGAGUCUCAUUCGCUUAGCGAGGCAGCCAGCUCGCUUAGCGGAUGGGAAACCCUAGAAGAGGAUAAGUCAGAGAUCCACGCCCUCGACACGUGAUCAGCCCGCCCAGCGAGGAUGUCGUCUCUUCUCGCGUUCAGCGCGCCCAAGCUCGCUUAGCAAAAGCUGAGCGAGCCUUCGUGUGCUAAGAAGUCCAAGAGACUUUAAAACACUGAGAUUAACAGAAAAUGAAAGGUCACCACCACCACAACGACAAUCUAGCAAGCAUUUGCUACAUGAAAAACAAGGAGAAAUAGGGAAGAGAAGUUGGAGAAGACAUUCUCCCUCAUCUUUUUCCAUUUUAUUUCACCAAAAACAUUUUCUUUCUUGUUUGUAUGAAGCUUUGCUUGUAAUGGAAGGCUAGAACUUCUUUGUUGGGGAGUAACUACUAAAAACUCUUGAUGUAAUGUUCUAACUAUCUAUUUAAUGUUAUUUUCUGGUGUUCUUUGUUUC